GUGCACGCUGGCGGUAGGCCCAACCCCUGCCAGUCGAACGGCAGCACAGUAAGAGCUUGCUCUUACGGGUGGCGAGUGGCGGACGGGUGAGGAAUACAUCGGAAUCUACUUUUUCGUGGGGGAUAACGUAGGGAAACUUACGCUAAUACCGCAUACGACCUACGGGUGAAAGCAGGGGAUCUUCGGACCUUGCGCGAUUGAAUGAGCCGAUGUCGGAUUAGCUAGUUGGCGGGGUAAAGGCCCACCAAGGCGACGAUCCGUAGCUGGUCUGAGAGGAUGAUCAGCCACACUGGAACUGAGACACGGUCCAGACUCCUACGGGAGGCAGCAGUGGGGAAUAUUGGACAAUGGGCGCAAGCCUGAUCCAGCCAUACCGCGUGGGUGAAGAAGGCCUUCGGGUUGUAAAGCCCUUUUGUUGGGAAAGAAAAGCAGCAGGUUAAUACCCCGCUGUUCUGACGGUACCCAAAGAAUAAGCACCGGCUAACUUCGUG
rnacentral:rRNA from 1 species